rnacentral:rRNA from 1 species
UACGUAGGGUCCGAGCGUUGUCCGGAAUUACUGGGCGUAAAGAGCUCGUAGGUGGUUUUGUCGCGUUGUCCGUGAAAACUCACACGCUCAACUGUGGGCGUGCGGGCGAUACGGGCAGACUGGAGUACUGCAGGGGAGGACUGGAAGUUCCUGGUGUAGCGGUGGAAUGCGCAGAUAUCAGGAGGAACACCGGUGGCGAAGGCGGGUCUCUGGGCAGUAACUGACGCUGGAGGAGCGAAAGCCGUGGGGAGCGAACAGG